rnacentral:lncRNA from 1 species
UUGCAUUGAAAAGAAUUUAUACAAUCUGAUGAUUCAAACAACUCAAAUUAAAAUCAUCUAAGACCCAACAAAGAAAACUAGAUAGACAUGAUCAAAUAAGCAAACAACAUAGAGAAGAAAAUAAACCGAUAAAAUGUCGCCGUUACCGGCAGUGCUCCUCAAUUUUCUUUCAAUUGGUGUUCUUGUUGCUUUCCUGUUUCCAUGGCUUCUCUCUAUGAUCACCAAAGGCUAUACCUUUUGAUGAUUGUUGUUUACACUCAAAACAAUGCUAAGAAACACUAGUAAAUGACAAUUUAAGCCCGAAUUUCAUCGACAGUUAACUGUCGUCGGUUAAAAACCAUCAACAGUUAACUGCCGAUAAGGUUAUAUUGGUAUUUUCCUAAAAUUUUCUAGCAUCCUCCGAUGUGGGAAAAACAAUCUCCAUACCUUCUUCUCCCAAAAC